CAUCACAUCUGCCACUUCUCCUCCAUGGUGCUUAGCAUAGGUAGCACGGGGGUUGUGCCUACGUGAGCCACGACGGCGCUGCUCACACCCCUGCCUCAUUCGUGAGCAUUACCUCACCCCUGCCCAAUUUGCAAGGUAGACACUUUGUGGGAGGAAGGAGAGCUCUUCCGCUGUGGGAGCCAUCGGGAAUUGUUCGCUUGCCGGGUGUUGGCCACUUACCCGGUGGCUCCAACUAAGUUGAGGUGCUGGUUUUCAUGUGAGCUGCUGGUGGUGGUUGCGCAUUGAUAGGAGCAACCUGGUUGGGUGGUGACGUUUCUGAGUGGCCAAGCAAUAGCUACUUUUUGUCUACUACCUCUGCAGUGGCUACUUCUGCUAUAAUGCGCAUCAACACCAGAACCACGUUUCCUAUCAUGGUAUGAGGCUUAGCAUCAUCAUCUGCUUCCAAAAGUUUGUGUUUUCAAAUGCUACCUCAUUUUGGGCUGAACGGCUUUCGAUCUUCGGAAUGCAUCACUUUCUAUGUACAUGACUUGCUCUAAUCUUGAUCUAUUAAACGUUUCUUUUGGUCUAUUCCUUUGUGCCGAGCUUGAUGUGAGUCAAUUGUAUUCUGUGAUAUUUAUUUUGAUUGGAAAAUUCAUGAGGUUAAAGAUUUGGUGCAUUG